GGGUGGCUGYUUGUUCUUCAUGGAACAUGUCUUGGAUGUUCCAGGUACGUGGAGAAGAACCUUCYAGAAGUUUCUUACUUCACAGAUUGGAAUAUGGCCUAGACUCUUGGGCAACUGUCACUGUGAGAGGGAGACAUGGCGGUACAUAAAGGAGGCAGAGYUUAGCAGUGUAAAUCUACGCUAUGUUUAUUUACCAACGGAUAACGUGCCAAGCCUCCUAUCCAAGUUUAUAUUWUACUUCAUUAGGCGAUUUAUGAUAGGUCAUGCCAAGAAGUGAUCGACUGUACAAAUGUUGUUGUUUAACUAAGGUGCUUUGAUAUUGUAGCUGCAGUAGAAGCACAAGCAACCCAAGCUCACUACAUUUAUAAGAGAAUGUAUGGGGAUUUAGAAUAUGCCGUAUUUUAUUUGGAAAAACGGAAAUAAUAGUUUGUCGUAGUCACUGUAUGCAGUUUUCGCCAGUUGACGAGUUUUAAUUUUCGUCGCGAAAAAGUUCCAUUAAAAGUAGAACUGCUUUUUACUCGUUCAACCGAAGCGGCUUGUGUUGCGAAUAAGUCUCGGGACGAAGAAAUGCACAAUGCUUUGCGCAUAAAAGCAUCGAAUCUCUGCUGUUGAAACAAACUAAAAUAAAGCCUCUCUUUUCCUGUUAUCUA